rnacentral:rRNA from 1 species
AGUGAACGCUGGCGGUAGGCCUAACACAUGCAAGUCGAACGGCAGCACAGUAAGAGCUUGCUCUUACGGGUGGCGAGUGGCGGACGGGUGAGGAAUACAUCGGAAUCUACUUUUUCGUGGGGGAUAACGUAGGGAAACUUACGCUAAUACCGCAUACGACCUACGGGUGAAAGCAGGGGAUCUUCGGCUCUUGCGCGAUUGAAUGAGCCGAUGUCGGGUUAGCUAGUUGGCGGGGUAAAGGCCCACCAAGGCGACGAUCCGUAGCUGGUCUGAGAGGAUGAUCAGCCACACUGGAACUGAGACACGGUCCAGACUCCUACGGGAGGCAGCAGUGGGGAAUAUUGGACAAUGGGCGCAAGCCUGAUCCAGCCAUACCGCGUGUGUGAAGAAGGCCUUCGGGUUGUAAAGCCCUUUUGUUGGGAAAGAAAAGCAGCAGGUUAAUACCCCGCUGUUCUGACGGUACCCAAAGAAUAAGCACCGGCUAACUUCGUG